AAAUUGAAGAGUUUGAUCAUGGCUCAGAUUGAACGCUGGCGGCAGGCCUAACACAUGCAAGUCGAACGGUAACAGGAAGCAGCUUGCUGCUUCGCUGACGAGUGGCGGACGGGUGAGUAAUGUCUGGGAAACCGCCUGAUGGAGGGGGAUAACUACUGGAAACGGUAGCUAAUACCGCAUAAUGUCGCAAGACCAAAGAGGGGGACC
rnacentral:rRNA from 1 species